rnacentral:rRNA from 1 species
GGGGGGGGGGGGGGGGGGGGGGGGGGGGGGGGGGGGGGGGGGGGGGGGGGGGCGGGGGGGGGGGGCGGGGGGGGGGAGCGGGGGGGUAACACGGGAGGAACGUGCCCUGGACUUUGGGGUAACUUGAGGAAACUGGGGCGAAUACCGGAUAGGAGGUCCUGCUGCAUGGUGGGGGGUGGAAAGUUGCGGCGGGUGGGGAUGGACUCGCGGCUUAUCAGCUUGUUGGUGGGGUAGUGGCUUACCAAGGCUUUGACGGGUAGCCGGCCUGAGAGGGUGACCGGCCACAUUGGGACUGAGAUACGGCCCAGACUCCUACGGGAGGCAGCAGUGGGGAAUAUUGCACAAUGGGCGGAAGCCUGAUGCAGCAACGCCGCGUGCGGGAUGACGGCCUUCGGGUUGUAAACCGCUUUCGCCUGUGACGAAGCGUGAGUGACGGUAAUGGGUAAAGAAGCACCGGCUAACUACGUG